rnacentral:lncRNA from 1 species
GCACAGUCAGGUCCAUAUUUAAUGUGAUUUAUAAUUGGACAUAUCUUUAUUCAAAUUUGAUAUUUGCGAAGAUAUGAACAAUUAUUAUGUUUCUAUGUAAUGUUUCAUAGUUGAUUCCUUAUUGUAUGGGCUUAACUAGGUCCAUUUGCCAAUGGCAUUUUCAUAGAAAGGUGUGAAAUGUUUGGUGAAAGUAACACAUCUUUGUGUGCUAUUCAAGCGGACCCAAAUCAUUCAAAUCCAUCCCAAGUAAUGGAAACCGAGAAGAAAUUAUUAGCGCAAGAUAUGUCACACACCCACUAAGAUCAUAAUUAUUUUCCAAACAUAGGUUCUCAGGUUGACAUUAAUCAUUUAAAAUCAUAAAUAACAAUUUUGCAACAAUAAACCAUCUUACAUACUCUCUCUUACACUAACCACAACUUCCAACACACGAAUAAGCUCAAAAGGUCACACACUUUUAGAAUUGAUGGGUUAAGAAAGAAGGCAUGUCUUUUCUUAAAGUACGAAUCCAAGAUUAAAAUAUGUACUUCUCGUAACACACACAUUGCAUCGCCAAAUAUUGUUUCGACAAUUUUUUAAAUCUGCACAUGUGGCAUUCUUACCUCUAAAUUCAAUUCUUAGCUACACCAAAGUGGUUGUAUUAAUUCUGUGUUGCUCACCAACAUAAAGUUAAUAGGUUUUCUUAGCCUUUCUAUAUGGGAGUGGAUUUUUGGAUCCCGAGCUCCAUGGAGCUCAAAAUUUUGAAAAAUACAUAUAGAAAACAAAUUUUAUAGUUUCAGAAAUUUGUGACUAAAUUGCACAUGUAUUGAUGUAUAUAGUGAUGUAUGCUUCAUCUAUGUAAAUAUUCAUGAUGGAAUACAUUUCGAUGUGGUCCAAAAACCAAAGAAACCAUUGAACCUUGAUAGUGAAUAAUACAUGUGUUAGGAAGCCAUUGUUUGUUUAGCUCAAUGGUACAUAUUUCAUAAUAAAAAUUAUAGACAUGUGAUAUACAUCCUUAUUUACAUAUAUAAAUUUUUUCAGAUUUUUUAUAAAUUUUAAAAGUUCGUUUCUGAUUUUUUCCAAAAAUAGGUUCCAGGGAGCCCGAGCUCUAUUAUGUAAUUCCUCUCUAUAUGGCUAAUAUUCAAGCAACACUUAUGUCCAUUGUGGAGUUGUCGACCAUUUUUUGCCUGUUGUUUUUAUUCUCAAUUAUUAUUUCUAUUAGGACUUGUAUUAUCUAGAUGGCGCAAUAUGUUGUUAUCACGUAAAUUCGCGAAGAGAGAAAAUAUAGUUGAGCAAACUUAGAAUUCUGUUCUUGUAAGUAACUCAAGAAAUGAUUAUCUACGGUUUCAUAUCUAGUUGUUAAAAUAAUGGAAUUUGCAUUCAAUGAAAAGUGCCACUUGCAGUCUCCCACUAGCUACAUAUUUCUAGAGAACUGUGCAUUACACUUUUUACUAUUAUUGUAAAAGUUGGCAUUCGGUAGUUUCUUGGACUGGAAUGGUUCAAGAUGGAUCCUGAAGAUGUAGGAAGUUACCCUAUACACACACAAGGAUGCUCUACAGAUUUGCAAUAUUCAUACCCCUGUGCCAUGAGAGUAGUAAAUCACGUGAGCAUCAGAUUUGCAAUAUCAACCCUAAUACUACAUGAUGCUUGUACAGAUUAAUCAUCAGAAGCAUCUAGAGCAGCAACACAUCUUUCUGGUGAAUGGAAACGAAGGUUGGAGGAACACACCAAUGCUCAUCUUCAGUCCAGUGGAUCCCUUUCGGGGUUCCCGCUCGACAAACUUUGAUUAGGCCUUUUGUCCAUGUCUUCCCCGUCAUCC